rnacentral:pre_miRNA from 1 species
UAACCUCCACAGGCUGGAUGGCCGCCAGCUGGGCUGGGCAAGGCCAAGUAUCUCUUUGAAAGGCUCACCCUCAAGCACAAUUAGGAGC